GGAGGGGAUGACUAGUGACAGAGGGAGGGAUGGGGUGACACAGUGACAGAGGGAGGGGAUGACUAGUGACAGAGUUAGGGAGGGAGGGAGUGACUAGUGACAGAGGGAGGGAUGGGGUGACUAGUGACAGUCACCAUCUCCCUCCCUCUGUCACUAGUCACUCUCUCCCUCAUUCUGUCACUAGUCACACCCUCCCUCACUAGUCACCCAUUCCCUCCCUCACUCUGUCACUAGUCACCCAUUCCCUCCCUCACUCUGUCACUAAUCACUCCCUCACUCUGUCACUAGUCACCCUCUCCCUCAC